rnacentral:miRNA from 1 species
GUGUGUGUGUGUGUUUGUUAGUGUGUGUGUGUGUGUUAGAGUGUGUUAACACACACUGACACACACACACACACACUCUAACACACACACAC